AGUAUGGUUGACUAGGCUUAAUUCUGGCACAUAUCACACCCCAUAGUGCAGGUAAACGUUUUUAAUGUCAUUACUGUCAGCUCCACAACCAGCUGAAGCGAUGCGCUCCCUUUCAACCACCAAUUUCAUGGCACCGUUUGUUUGCGCAUGGCCAGUUGCUCUCUAGGUCUUUCCGUCCCCCUCGAAACAACCGGAAUCUUUGCACUACAACAUUUUAUCACUGGAGCGUCAACGCUUGGGGGUAUUUGGCAAAAUAAGGAAGGGUGGCCAAAUCAUGACCUGAGCAGAUCGACUGAAUUUCGAUGGAGUCUUUGAAUGCCGUAGAGCUCUGUGAAUUGGGGGAUGGCGACAAGCCCGCUGCCUGCGAGGUCACUACAACUCCGCGAAAAGCUACCCAGUCAAGACCUCGGAUAGUAGCUAGCACUGGAAUCGAGAACACGUCAUAUCAGGACGAGGAGCACGAGACGAGGUUCAGUCCCCAGGGAGCAGACAGCUCGAGUGUUCAUCUGUCCACGUCUAAUGACAGGGGCUAUCAGUCACAACCCAGGCCUUUCCAGCGAGAUGAGCUGUCACACCGCUCUGAGGCGGGACAUGAGACUGACUUUAAAAACCAUUCACUCGACUAUGGGUUCCUAUUUGCCAUGGUGUUCUUGGUGAGUGGAAUUGUACUGGUGGUCAUUGCCUACACCAUUCCCCGAGAGGCUAAGGUCAACCCAGACCUGGUGUCAGCUCGUCAGAUGGAGAAACUGGAGAUGUACUACACACAACUGGGCUCGCACCUCGACAAGUGUAUCAUAGCAGGCCUGGGACUGUUGACUCUAGGGGGAAUGCUCUUGUCCAUCUUGCUAAUGGUGUCCAUAUGCAAAGGUGAGCUGUACCACCGGAGGACAUUUUUCCAACCCAGGAAAACAUACGGGUCGAUUCACCUCCGGAUGAGACAGUUGGGCGAGGGGGAAGAAUCUCUGUUUGAAUGUGAACUUAGUCACACUGGCAACACAGCUCUAGCCACUAGCCCUACAGAUGGAACACAGAAAGUAAGAGUCCUGCUACGUGGAACAUCUUCGAUCCUCUGAACUGUCCUCAGGCAACUCUAUCAGAGUUCAACGAUACAUCCACCCUCUCAACAUACAACACAGGAGGCAGAUUGCUCCUGAGGCUCAAGAGAUUCAUACAACUAUACUGAAAAGAUGGCAGAACCUACAUACCAGACCUUACUUCGUCUCCAUAUUAGAGGUCGACCGAUUAUGAUUUUUCAACGCCGAUACCAAUACUGAUUACUGGAGGACGAAAAAAAGUCGAUACCGAUUAAUCGGCCGAUUUUUAAAAUAAAUAAAAAGUAUUUAUUUGUAAUAAUGACAAUUACAACAAUACUGAUUGAACACUUAUUUUAAUAUAAUACAUCAAUAAAAAUCAAUUUAGCCUCAAAUAAAUAAUGAACCAUGUUAAAUUUGGUUUAAAUAAUGCAAAAACGAAGUGUUGGAGAAGAAAGUAAAAGUGCAAUUAUUGCCAUGUAAAAAAAGCUAACGUUUAAGUUCCUUGCUCAGAACAUGUGAAAGUUGGUGGUUCCUUUUAACAUGAGACUUCAAUAUUCCAAGGUAAGAGGUUUUAGGUUGUAUAGUAUUUAUAGGACUAUUUCUCUCUAUACCAUUUGUAUUUCAUUAACCUUUGACUAUUGGAUGUUCUUAUAGGCACUUUAGUAUUGCCAGUGUAACAGUAUAGCUUUCGUCCCUCUCCUCCACCCUACCUGGGCUUGAAGCUCCACAAAAGCCGUGGCCCUUGCAGAGCAAGGGGAACAAUCACUCCAAGUCUCAGAGCGAGUGACGUUUGAAACGCUAUUAGCGCGCACCCCACUAACUAGCUAGCCAUUUCUCAUCGGUUACACCAGCCUAAUCUCGGGAGUUGAUAGGCUUGAAGUCAUAAACAGCGCUGUGCUUGAGAAGAGCUGCUGGCAAAAUGCACGAAAGUGCUGUUUGAAUGAAUGCUUACAAGCCUGCUGCUGCCUACCAUUGCUCAGUCAGACUGCUCUAUCAAAUAUCAAAUCAUAGACUUAAUUAUAACAUAAUAACACACAGAAAUACGAGCCUUUGGUCAUUAAUAUGGUCAAAUCCGGAAACUAUCAUUUCGAAAACAAAACGUUUAUUAUUUCAGUGAAAUACAUAACCUUUCUGUAUUUUAUCUAAUGGAUGGCAUCCAUAAGUCUAAAUAUUGUUGUUCCAUUGUACAACCUUCAAUGUUAUGUCAUAAUUAUGUGAAAUUCUGGCAAAUUAGUUCGCAAUGAGCCAGGCUGCCCAAACUGUUGCAUAUAUCCUGACUCUGCGUGCAAUGAAUUGCAGAGAAGUGACACAAUUUCACCUGGUUAAUAUGGCCUGCUAACCUGGAUUUCUUUUAGCUAAAUAUGCAGGUUCAAAAAUAUAUACUUCUGUGUAUUGAUUUUAAGAAAGGCAUUGGUGUUUAUAGUUAGGUACAGUCUCAACGAUUGUGCUUUUUUCGCAAAUGAACUUUUGUUAAAUCAUCCCCCUAAUUAUAUGCAACGCAGGACAUGCAAGAUAAACUAGUAAUAUCAUCAACCAUGUGUAGUUAACUAGUGAUUAUGAUUGAUUGUUUUUUAUAAGAUAAGUUUAAUGCUAGCUAGCAACUUACCUUGGCUUCUACUGCAUUCGCGUAACAGGCAGGCUCCUCGUGGAGUGCAAUGAGAGGCAGGUGGUUAGAGCGUUGGACUAGUUAACCGUAUGGUUGCAAGAUUGAAUCCCGGAGCUGUCAAGGUAAAUAUCUGUCAUUCUGCCCCUGAACAAGGCAGUUAACCCACCGUUCCUAGGCCGUCAUUGAAAAUAAGAAUGUGUUCUUAACUGACUUGCCUAGUAUAAUAAAGGUGUAUUUUCUAAUUGAUUUUUUAUUUAAAAAAAGAAACUCAGCCAAUUCAGUGUCCAAAAAUACCGAUUUCCGAUUGUUAUGAAGCGGCCAUUCCGAUUAAUCUUCGACCUCUACUCCAUAUAUCAACGCAUAUGGUGAGGAAGAUGACCCUCUCCUCCCGUCCACAGUCGGUGGAUGUCCUGAAGAUCAUCAUGUAAAACAAAUUGAAUUUGGACUAUGACUUCACUCUUCAAUACGAAGAUCCUGACUUUGAUGGACAAUUGUGCUGUCUAGUGGACAUUGAGGAGUUUCCUGAGGAAGCUGUCCUGAAGAUAAUUGGAUCAGAAAGUGAUGCCAACUCAACUGAAUCUGGAGAAACAGAUAUACUGCCCCACGCCAGAUAGUCUCCAGAGUGCCUAGAGAAGUGGCCUGACGGUUUUCCGGGUGCCAUAUUUUUCUUAUGAUAUUGAGCACAUGCUCAAUAGUUGCUAUGAGAACUGGAAAGACUCUUAAAUUAACAAGAGCCCAGAAGCAUGACAUUCUUGAGAACAUAGCUAAAGCAAUACACAGCUUCAAGACCUAUCCAAGUGUGGGAGAAAUAGGCAAGGCUACCAAAGCGCUUGUUACCAAGCACCCAUGUCUCAAAGGAGCAGGGAGUCGGUCUGGAUGGUAUGCAUGGAUGACUGGUCUGAAGUUCAAGAUGGGGAACUAUCGGACCAAGUUGAGCAGAGCUGGAGUUCCUGAGUUUUAUCUCAAUGCAGGCAAGAGGAGCAGAAACAACCUAGAGAGAGAGUCACCCCACUCAAACAUCAAGAGACCCAGACGAGUUGAGGUAAACGUCCUGCCAUGCUUGAGAGACCCAGAGUCUCUCAAGCAGCUGAGACCGCAAAUCAUCAACCAAGUUUCAAAGACUGAGUGAAACCUGCCAUUAAUAGACAAGCUGAUGCAGACAAAUUUUGCCCUUUGACGAAAUGAGAUCGUAAAUGAUGGACCGCCAGUGAAAUGGUUCCCGAGGGAACUGGCCAGCCCUUCCCAUGGAGUCUCAGGUAAAACAGCUUUUAUCCCUCUCUCUUUCUCUUAUUUUGUCUCUGUCUCCCUCUUGCUCCCUUUAACCUUUGUAAGAUCUUUCUUUCAGUCGACAUUGUGUUCAAUGGGGCUUUUGUUUGUGGUUUGUUGAUGCAUGUGUGUGCAGAGUUCCACCGCAUAACAAACAUCAUUUUGAAGGGCCCGAUUCUAUGCCAAGCUUACAUUUAUGUAUGUUUCAGGUGGCGGAAACUGAAGAGCCAGACAUUAGACACACCUGUCGCUCUCCUCAUUGUUUUCAGUGAGAACUGAACUGAUCAUGUCCUUUUCAACCCAGCCAGGAUUGCUGUUGUGCUAGAAGGUGACAUUAUAAUGAAUGAUCUCCCCAGGUUGGCUGAUGCAAUUAUGUUGUUAUUUCUUGCAUCUGAGUUAUCCCAAGCAGCUGAUCCAUACUUCUGACUUCAUACAAAAAAGUUCUAGGCUGAUGGGAAAAUGCUUAAACCCAAGCUUGUGUCUCUGAAAAAUGACCUAUUGGCGCAAGACUAAUGAUGUAUGGGUCUGUGUGCGUAUUGGCCUUUAGAGGUAUUUACCAUCAGUGAGGUUGUAGAUGCUGCAAGGCUUUUCUCGUAGAUAUGUCUUUAUUGUGUGGGUCCACAUUGUCCCAUCAUUGCCUUGUUAAUCGCAGUAUAGGCUCACACAGCCACUGUUUCCAAUCAAAAACCAUACAUUCUUUCAGAGUUAUAAAUGUUUUCCUUUCAUUGUCAUUGAUGUUUGACAUAAACCACGUCCACAAAUGUUUUAGCUGUUCUGCUCUUCAGUAGAACUCAAUAGAAACGGAGAUAUAUCUUUUUGUACUGCCGCAGUCAAUCAACCCGUGAACAAUGUGGAGGGCUUGAUGAGAUAAGCGAGAGUUGAGAUUUGAUUUCCACUCCAAAUAAAGUUGUAACGUACAUUAUGUUCUGAAUGUAAUGGAAGUUAGCAAGAGUUAAUAUGCACUAAAAUAAAGCUGGAACAUAUUUUCUAAAAUGUAUGUAUUGCAAUGGUUCUAACAGUUAAUGGUUUUUGAUCAUGGCUGCAGCUUUAAUGUGUUGUUCCUCAUUUUCCCGUUUUUGUCUAAUCGUUGCAGCCUCAUGCGGACAAUGUUUCCAAUAGAGAAUUCUGUGACACUAUUUGGAUAGUCCAUCUGUAGAUAGUUAAUUGAGCAUUCAAAGACCAUCAACAAAUGUUAAAUUGUAUAUCAAACUAACCCGAACAUAUCAGCAGUUAUACAGUUGACAUUUUCUUAGUUUAUUGAUAGUUUGAGCAUGUACAGUACAGGGGACUAUCCAAAUGGAGUUACAGAAAAUUCGAAGUUCUCUAGAAGUUCAAAAUAUUUUAACCAGGUUUCUAUCCAACCCUUUCAUGCUAGAGCGCACAUAAAGCCUACAUGAUGAGAUUGGACAAAGAAGCGAGAUACUUAUUUUAUUUGUGAAACUGCAACCAAGCAUCGAUGACCAUGUCACCAGAAUAAGACCCUUGAUAUUUAUUGGAGAGGAGCACCUUGCACUUUCACCACCCUGUGAAGUUGAUAACAACUUAUUUCACCUGUCGUCUAAUAAACUGCAUGCUUUCCCGACAAGUCGUAGUGGGAGGACCACACGUCAUUGUGUAACUCCAAGUUUACUUCAAUAUAAUGGUUAUUAUCUAAAAAUGUCCUCAUAAAAGCGUUUCCACUCGCAUAAAAAGGUUAGAUGGAAACUUGGUUAGUGUCACAUUUGGUUAUUGUGUUGGAGGCAGGCGUUUUGUUCAGUUGAAUACACAGGCAUAGGAAUAUUAAAGUUUGCGUUGUCAAGAACAUUUUAAAUUGUUUACUUUAUUUGAUUCCUAAUUUUAUUUUGUACCGUAUAUUUAUAGCAAUCUAUGAUUGUUUUUUUAAAUAUUAUUCUAGCCUUUAUAAUAAAGAU